rnacentral:rRNA from 1 species
CCCCUCGAGAGUGGCGAACGGGUGAGUAAUAUAUCGGAACGUGCCCAGUCGUGGGGGAUAACGUAGCGAAAGUUACGCUAAUACCGCAUACGAUCUACGGAUGAAAGCGGGGGAUCGCAAGACCUCGCGCGAUUGGAGCGGCCGAUAUCAGAUUAGGUAGUUGGUGGGGUAAAGGCUCACCAAGCCAACGAUCUGUAGCUGGUCUGAGAGGACGACCAGCCACACUGGAACUGAGACACGGUCCAGACUCCUACGGGAGGCAGCAGUGGGGAAUUUUGGACAAUGGACGCAAGUCUGAUCCAGCCAUUCCGCGUGCAGGAUGAAGGCCCUCGGGUUGUAAACUGCCUUUGUACGGAACGAAAAGGUCUCUCUUAAUACGGGGGGCUCAUGACGGUACCGUAAGAAUAAGCACCGGCUAACUACGUGCCAGCAGCCGCGGUAAUACGUAGGGUGCAAGCGUUAAUCGGAAUUACUGGGCGUAGAGCGUGCGCAGGCGGUUAUAUAAGACAGAUGUGAAAUCCCCGGGCUCAACCUGGGAACUGCAUUUGUGACUGUAUAGCUAGAGUACGGUAGAGGGGGAUGGAAUUCCGCGUGUAGCAGUGAAAUGGGUAGAUAUGCGGAGGAACACCGAUGGCGAAGGCAAUCCCCUGGACCUGUACUGACGCUCAUGCACGAAAGCGUGGGGAGCAAACAGGAUUAG